rnacentral:lncRNA from 1 species
CUCGGCUCGGUCUGCGCGCUGCUACCGGGAGGGUUCACAGGAUGGCCCGCAGGAGCAACAUCACUCAAACACGCUUAUGAGGAAACAUCAUGACACCCUGUGACGCACUGCUGAACUUUUGGGGACUGGAGAGCAUGAAUCAGAAGCGCUACUGGUCCUUGAAAAAGAUACGCCUAGAGAAAGAACAUCAAGUACUGGCCCAACAGAACCGUGAAGGGGACUGCCACUGAUUGCCUUUAUUGUUUUGACAUUCUAUAUUGCGGCGGGUGUUGUGUAUGCGUCGCGAUGUGCAUUGUGUCUUGGGCCACCAGGUUGCAGGGGCUCACCCCCUACCUGCUCAGUCAUUGGUUCAUGCUGUGAAGGGGUGGAGUGUAGUGGAAUUCCAGGGUCACAGCCUGAACCAAUGGGUGGGCUCUGUGAGUGUGUGAGUGCGGCGGCGCGGCGGUACGAACGGGGGAGGGACACAUUCCUCAGCUCGGCUCGGUCUGCGCGCUGCUACCGGGAGGGGUGAGUCGAUUCUUUUUGAUAUCUUUCCCUCGUAUGCCUAUUUCUUAAAUAAAGGCUUUGUCAUCACCUUCAUUUGCCCUACACCCCAAAUAGAUUCAAACACUAUAUAUAUAUGUAUAUAUAUACCAGAAAAAUCUAACUUUCUCAGUCCAUUUCUGAUAUGCAGUGGUAACAUAUGAUCCAAAUAAUUGUAUUGUCUCCAAAAUAGAAGAGACUGGAGGAGUGGGUCAGAGAUCUGGAACUGAUCCUUUUGAAAGUUAUACCUUGUGACAGGCCUCCCCAUAUUGUACAGCUGGCUUGAGAUCCAUCAGGGACUCUGCCAGAGUUGGCUUCCAGUGGCAGUCAUGCUCUGACAGAUUACUCCUUAUGUCAGUCAUGCAGACUCUGUGACCUGAAUGAAAGGCCUCUUGUGGCCACCACACUGCCAAAAAGACGCUACAUAGUGUUCUGCAGGACAGUUGUGCAUAACCUCAACAGCUCUGGACCAAACCCUUCACAGUAAUUAUUCCUGUGGAGACGCUGGAGUUUUCAGCAGACUCGUCUACCUCAUCAGAGGUUGAUCAGAGGUUGAUGGCAUACAGUUCUUAAGUUUAUAUUGAAGGAACAUAUUGUUCCUUAUGUUGUUAUCCUAACAGUGUGGGGUUAGAGUAAAAUAAAGUUCUGUUACCCUGGCAGUGAAUGAAUGAUCCUUCUGAAGGACAAUGUACUGUAGCAAUUUUUAUUUAUUUAUCUAUCUAUCUAUUUAUUUGUUUAUUUCUAUUCUGAGUCUGAGGACUGCUUUGGGAUCUUUCAGUUAGCACCUAAAACCUAUGAGUAGUAAUGUAACAUUUGAGUUUCUCCAACUCUUGAUAGUUGAUAUAUCAGCAGAAAGCAUUACACCAUAAAAACUUUCAGACAAGUGCAUAGGGACAGGGAUUUCUCCUUCCCCUGCAAGGCCCCCAGCUCACAGAUAAUUCUGCUUUGCUGUAGAUAGGACUGGAACAGGCUGAGGCAUGACAUAGCAUCCAUUUUUCAUCCAGCCAUUUUUGCCCUCCUGGAGGGGUAAAAAACCUCUCCAACCCAGAAAUUGCAAUGUUAUAUUUCUUCAUGACAUUACCUUCUUGCUUUCAGUCUCCAAAGAGCAAACCAAUUUUCCAAUAGUGACUUAGGCUGCUCCACCACAUAAUGGCCUCCUACCCUUCUUACCUUAGCCAUUUUUUCUUAUAACGAGACUACCUUCAAACCCUUUUUCUCAGUGAAAAGCUAUUGUCAAAUCACUACCUCUUCAGAGCCCUCUGUGAUGAACAAGCAACAAAUAAGGACUAAGUUUUCCAGCUGUCUGUGCUAAAGCAGGUGUGGCACUGAGAUUCUCCAGGAUUAUGCAAUGCUGAUUUCACACCAACACUUGGCACUUGGAGGCUGACUCAGAUAAAAUAAGUGUGCUGGUAAUUCUGAAUGUUCAGGCACCAAUGGGCUGGCAGCCCUAGUCUGCAAGAACAUUUUCCUGAUCUCUUCAUGAUAAUUGAUCCCUUUGUCUUCAGUUUGACCAGGAAGACUACAGCAGCCUGGCUAACUAUAGCAUGGGAGCAUGGCAGCAUGGCAGGAAGCACAAAUCAGAUCUCCUGCAGUGACCACCUGAAAGUUCCUGGCAAAGCCCUCACAGAAGGUGGAAGAAGCCAAGGGUUCAGCCUCUAUUUUCUCAGGUUCUCUAGUUAUUUUGAUUUGAAUGACUAUAUAAUUCACAGAUAUGCAGUACACUCACAAGUGAGCCUGGCUGGUAUUUUACAGUCCUGAGUACAUAUCAGAAGCACCUUCUGUCAAAACCAAAUCACCAGAACCAAACCCAACUGAAUCCAUCUGUUCUUGACUUCUAGGUCAUUCCACAAGUUCCUUCUAACUACUUAUGUCACAUAAAAAGACCAAUUAACUUUGAGUAUAAGGAUAUCGACCUUCAUUAUCUCUUACAUUUGGAUUGCUGAGGAUUUGUAUUUCAUAAGAUAAGAAACAGAGAACAAAUUCACUGGGGACAUACCUGUCCUCUGUUGUUUUCUGUAACACAAGAAGAAACACAUCUGUAUAACUAUAUUUUUAAUUCCAGCUAUACUCAUAAAAUUAUCUUGUUGGAUUUAAACUGAGAAUGUAAUGUUUUAGAUUGCGUCAUGCAGUUUCUAUGUUGCGCUGGGGUAAUUCUUAGUUAUAAUAUCCAAGUGGCAGGUGUGGAAAUCCAACAGAACACAGAGCUUUUGUGGUAAAGGGUUUGCAGCAGCAGAAUUUCAGUGGAAGCAGCAGAUGCUCUGAUCUGUGCAGGCCAGCUGUGCUCUUCAAUAGAGAGGAGAGACCACAACACUCUGUGUCCCUCUGAGUCAAGAGCACCACUUAACAUACUGGGGCACAUCUGUGCUCAAAGGCUCUGAUUGCUCCUGUUCUUGCAGCGGUCAGUAAGGUCACUGGAAUCUUCAAAUACAUUAUAGUUUAUCUAUAUAUGGCAACAUUGCCAUAUUAGUGUACCAUAUAUACCACUCAUCUCAUUUAGAUCUUGAUCUUAUACAUGAAGUUGAAUUUACCAUGAAAGGUCUAAUAUCCUGCAACAAGGAAAUGCUAUUGUGAACAGUCAACCUUAAUUUCUUGUGACAUGCUAAUAUUUCUACAAUUACUGUUGCUCAAAGUUGAAAAGGCUUUGAAAAAUUAAACUGCAAUAAGAAAUGCACUCCUUUCUGGAUGGCAGUGUACAUCCAUAGUAUAUUUUCUGGAAGUCUAGGUAAAAAUAAUAUUUUCAUUUUAAAUUUUGGAGGAAUUCUAUGCAAACUAUAAAUUAAUCAAUAUGGAACAUCCUUGCCCUCAUAACAAAGUACCGUAGCAUAUUUUUCUUGUGAUAUGAGAGGCUGAGGACCUCGAAGAGUAAUGUCAAAUAAAAACAAAAUGAAAUCAUACACUAGAGCAUUGCUUCAUUAUUUCCUUAUAAGAAAACAAACAAAUAAUCAAAGAAACAAACAACAACAACAAAAAACCACAUACACACAAAAUCUACAAAGAUAUACAACUAAAAAAAAUUGAUUGGAAGAUCUUGGAUUUUUUUCAAUUCUCUAAUUACAUCAAAAUUGAAUAGUAACUGAAAAUCAAUAAUGUAAUUCAUAAAAUAAAAGACUUCUUUCCAG